UACGGAGGGUGCAAGCGUUAAUCGGAUUUAUUGGGCGUAAAGGGGGCGUAGGCGGAAAAGCAAGCCAGAUGUGAAAGCCCGGGGCUCAACCCCGGAACGGCAUUUGGAACUACUUUCCUUGAGGAUAGGCGGAGAAAAUGGAAUUCCACAAGUAGCGGUGAAAUGCGUAGAUAUGUGGAAGAACACCGGUGGCGAAAGCGGUUUUCUAGCUUAUUCCUGACGCUAAGGCCCGAAAGCUAGGGGAGCAAACAGG
rnacentral:rRNA from 1 species